rnacentral:rRNA from 1 species
CCCAGACUCCUACGGGAGGCAGCAGUGGGGAAUAUUGCACAAUGGGGGAAACCCUGAUGCAGCGACGCCGCGUGAGUGAAGAAGUAUUUCGGUAUGUAAAGCUCUCUCAGCAGGGAAGAAAAUGACGGUACCUGAUUAAGAAGCCCCGGCUAACUACGUGCCAGCAGCCGCGGUAAUACGUAGGGGGCAAGCGUUAUCCGGAUUUACUGGGUGUAAAGGGAGCGUAGACGGUGAUGCAAGUCAGAAGUGAAAGCCCGUGGCUCAACUCCGGGACUGCUUUUGAAACUGUGUGACUGGAGUGCAGGAGAGGUAAGCGGAAUUCCUGGUGUAGCGGUGAAAUGCGUAGAUAUCAGGAGGAACACCAGUGGCGAAGGCGGCUUACUGGACGGUAACUGACGUUGAGGCUCGAAAGCGUGGGGAGCAAACAGGAUUAGAUACCCCAGUAUCC